UAUAUAUAUACUAUAUAUAUAUAUAUAUAUAUACUAUCUACUUAUCUAUCUAUUCAUCUAUCCGUCUAUACAUCUUUCUAUCUAUCCUACCUAUUUAUCUACCAGCCACCAAGCCACGGACUGCCACCAAGAUUAGCACCACGCUCAAAUUUUCAAAGACCAAGGGAAUCAACUAUUCUAUUCUAAUAUGAGCAGCUUUAUAUCACCCUUACCCACAUCUCAAAUCUCAAUCCAUCUCUUAAAAGGGUGUUAGUUGCUGAUGACACCAGGACGGUGGCUAUGGAAGUCGGAAUCCGCUAAGGAGUGUGUAACAACUCACCUGCCAAGGCAACUAGCCCCAAAAAUGGAUUGCGCUAUAGCAUUGUACUUACACUCAACCUCAACGUGUGACGCACCGGACACUCAGAGAGUAGGAAGGUAAUGUGAUACCGUCGAAGAAUUUUGGUGUAAUCUGGAGCUGUCACAUGAGUAGAUCUUGGUGGUCGUAACAAGUGCUCAAUUAAAAACCUUGAGCACUGAUAGCAGUACAGAACAGUGUGAACAUGU
rfam:Tropilaelaps mercedesae isolate Wuxi-XJTLT scaffold0000008391, whole genome shotgun sequence.